GUGACUGUAAAGCAGAGUAUGUCUU
rnacentral:piRNA from 1 species